rnacentral:rRNA from 1 species
UGCAAGUCGAACGGCAGCACGGGAGCAAUCCUGGUGGCGAGUGGCGAACGGGUGAGUAAUAUAUCGGAACGUGCCCAGUCGUGGGGGAUAACGUAGCGAAAGCUACGCUAAUACCGCAUACGAUCUAUGGAUGAAGCGGGGGAUCGCAAGACCUCGCGCGAUUGGAGCGGCCGAUAUCAGAUUAGGUAGUUUGGUGAGGUAAAGGCUCACCAAGCCGACGAUCUGUAGCUGGUCUGAGAGGACGACCAGCCACACUGGGACUGAGACACAGACCAGACUCCUACGGGAGGCAGCAGUGAGGAAUAUUGGACAAUGGGCGCAAGCCUGAUCCAGCCAUGCCGCGUGCAGGAUGACGGUCCUAUGGAUUGUAAACUGCUUUUAUACAGGAAGAAACACUCCGACGUGUCGGAGCUUGACGGUACUGUAAGAAUAAGGAUCGGCUAACUCCGUG